AAUAGAAUUAUGUAAUUUUUGUAAAAUUAUUAACCUAUAUUGUCAUUUACACGGUGACGUGAACUCAUUGUAUACCUUGGGUUGGGCCUAGGGCUGGUCAAGAGUUGGUUUCUAUUUGGUUUGCGUCUGAAUCAGUAAUUCCAAUUUAAAGUUUUGUAGGAUUGAAAAUGGGCUUCUUAGGAUUUUUUUUUUUAAAUUGUU
rnacentral:misc_RNA from 1 species